GGAUGAGAACCUCCGGGGGCAAGAGGUUCGACCCGAGCGAAGCGAGAGAACGUUGCGUCAGCAACGGCCCGCAGGGCGAGCCACGCAGUGGCGAGUCAUCCUCUAUCACCGACCA
rnacentral:sRNA from 4 species